AUUUUCAUUUGAAAAGCAGAAUAGUCCUUAAUUAUUUGAUGAGAAUCCUUAAUGUUCAUUCUCUUGUUGUUUAUUUUUUUUCCUUAGACGUCAACAAUCCGGGUAACUCUUGAAGUAUAUUGCAGAGUAGCACCAUUUCAUAUAGGGUGGGGCUGGGAAAGAAGAGCCAAGAUUGCCGGAGUGGUAGAGACGGCCAGAAACAGGCGGGUGUCCUGCAGGAGCAACACGUUGUUCGGUUACUGCCCGUCCUUCGAAAUGUCAUAGAGUCUUAAAAUAUGAAGCAGUUCAAAACAGUCACACAGGUGCCACAGGCCUUCCACAUUGAAAGGUCAGGAACACAAGUUAGAGGCACUGGCAUCCGAAUCAUCACCCGCUGGCGGCUUUGCGAAGCUGAAGAACGCCGCGCCUGUCGCAGGAGAUGAUGAAGGAAGACGAGCCACAGACCAGCCUUCUUGCUUGGCCAGAAGCGAAACCUUGUGAAAGUGACCCAGAGAGGCCCCGUGGUUGGCCCGGCCCCGGCUCCCUGGCCUCGGGUGGGCCUGCGGAGGGUCCAGCAAGUGGUCCAGCAGGAGGCCCAGGAGGAUGUCCAGCAGGUGGCCCCGCAGGUCCUCUCCACAGCCUGCGUGAACCUGCAACGAGUAGAACUGAGGAAACCAAACUUACUUGGUUUCAGUCCUGCCUUCGCCGAGGGCCUCACACGGGCAGACUAAAAUGUGAUUUCGUCUCGGUUUGCUGUUCGGAGGGGAAGGAUGGCUGGGUGCUCUCCCCCGGGGUGCGCUCCUGGAGCCCGAGGCCUGGGGAAGCUGGUUCUUUCCGUUUGUGGAGUCGGGGUGGGGGGGGACACGGAAGCCCUGGGUGACUCUGAGGCUUGGGCAAGGCAUUCCGUGAGCUUCCGUGUCCCCCAAAGGGUCGAUGAUGGGAUAAGGAGCCCACGGGGCUGCUGCCCGAGCCAGAGAAGGUAAUCCUAACAACCACCCAAAUGUAUCAUCUUGGAAUAAAUUUCUAAGGAGUAAUUGUGCA
rnacentral:lncRNA from 1 species